AGAGUUUGAUCAUGGCUCAGGACGAACGCUGGCGGCGUGCUUAACACAUGCAAGUCGAACGGAAAGGCCCUUCGGGGUACUCGAGUGGCGAACGGGUGAGUAACACGUGGGUGAUCUGCCCUGCACUUUGGGAUAAGCCUGGGGAACUGGGUCUAAUACCGAAUAUGACCAUGCGCCUCCUGGUGUGUGGUGGAAAGCUUUUGCGGUGUGGGAUGGGCCCGCGGCCUAUCAGCUUGUUGGUGGGGUAAUGGCCUACCAAGGCGACGACGGGUAGCCGGCCUGAGAGGGUGACCGGCCACACUGGGACUGAGAUACGGCCCAGACUCCUACGGGAGGCAGCAGUGGGGAAUAUUGCACAAUGGGCGCAAGCCUGAUGCAGCGACGCCGCGUGAGGGAUGACGGCCUUCGGGUUGUAAACCUCUUUCAGCACAGACGAAGCGCGAGUGACGGUAUGUGCAGAAGAAGGACCGGCCAACUACGUGCCAGCAGCCGCGGUAAUACGUAGGGUCCGAGCGUUGUCCGGAAUUACUGGGCGUAAAGAGCUCGUAGGUGGUUUGUCGCGUUGUUCGUGAAAACUCACAGCUUAACUGUGGGCGUGCGGGCGAUACGGGCAGACUGGAGUACUGCAGGGGAGACUGGAAUUCCUGGUGUAGCGGUGGAAUGCGCAGAUAUCAGGAGGAACACCGGUGGCGAAGGCGGGUCUCUGGGCAGUAACUGACGCUGAGGAGCGAAAGCGUGGGGAGCGAACAGGAUUAGAUACCCCGGUAGUCC
rnacentral:rRNA from 1 species